UUAGUGGCGAAAGGGUUAGUAAUGAAUAGGUAACGUACCCUGUGCAUCAGGAUAGCGUCAGGUGCGGCGGCAACUUUCCGAAAGGGGCGGUAAUACUGAAUAAUGUCAUCUUACGAUAGUGCGAUGACCAAAGAUUUAUCGGCAUAGGAGCGGNCUAUUUCCUAUCAGCUUGUUGGUGAGGUAAUAGCUCACCAAGGCUAAGACGGGUAGCGGGACUGAGAGGCUGACCCGCAACAUCGGGACUGAGACACGGGCCGGACCUCCACGGAGGGCUGCAGUAACGAAUAUUGCGCAAUGGGCGAAAGCCUGACGCAGCGACGCCGCGUGUAGGAGGAAGUCCCUCGGGAUGUAAACUACUGUCAGGGUAAAGAAAGUUCGCUCCGGCGAAUUGAUCUACCCCAGAGGAAGUCACGGCUAACUUCGUGCCAGCAGCCGCGGUAAGACGAAGGUGGCAAGCGUUGUUCGGUAUCACUGGGCUUAAAGCGUAUGCAGGCGGAAUGGACAGCGUCAUGUGAAAUCCCUCAGCUCAACUGAGGAAUUGCAUGGCGAACUGCCAUUCUUGAGGCAAGUAGGGGUGCAUAGAACUCUUGGUGGAGCGGUGGAAUGCGUAGAUUUCAAGAGGAAUGCCGAUGGAGAAAUCAGUGCACUAGGCUUGUCCUGACGCUCAGAUACGAAAGCGUGGGGAGCGAACGG
rnacentral:rRNA from 1 species